AUUGAACGCUGGCGGCAGGCCUAACACAUGCAAGUCGAGCGGAGCGGCGGCAGGGUGAGUAAUGCCUAGGAAUCUGCCUGGUAGUGGGGGAUAACGUCCGGAAACGGGCGCUAAUACCGCAUACUAUCAGAUGAGCCUAGGUCGGAUUAGCGAGUUGGUGGGGUAAAGGCCUACCAAGGGGACGAUCCGUAACUGGUCGGAGAGGAUGAUCAGUCAAACGGGAACUGAGACACGGUACAGACUCCUACGUGAGGCAGAAGUGGGGAAUAUUGGACAAUUGGCGAAAGCCUGAUCCAGCCAUUCGGCGUGUGGGAAGAAGGUCUUCGGAUUGUAGAGCACUUGAAGUUGGGAGGCGUUACCAACAGAAUACGCAACGGCUAACUUCGUGCCAGCAGCCGCGGUAAUUC
rnacentral:rRNA from 1 species